GAUGAACGCUGGCGGCGUGCCUAAUACAUGCAAGUCGAGCGAACGGACGAGAAGCUUGCUUCUCUGAUGUUAGCGGCGGACGGGUGAGUAACACGUGGAUAACCUACCUAUAAGACUGGGAUAACUUCGGGAAACCGGAGCUAAUACCGGAUAAUAUUUUGAACCGCAUGGUUCAAAAGUGAAAGACGGUCUUGCUGUCACUUAUAGAUGGAUCCGCGCUGCAUUAGCUAGUUGGUAAGGUAACGGCUUACCAAGGCAACGAUGCAUAGCCGACCUGAGAGGGUGAUCGGCCACACUGGAACUGAGACACGGUCCAGACUCCUACGGGAGGCAGCAGUAGGGAAUCUUCCGCAAUGGGCGAAAGCCUGACGGAGCAACGCCGCGUGAGUGAUGAAGGUCUUCGGAUCGUAAAACUCUGUUAUUAGGGAAGAACAUAUGUGUAAGUAACUGUGCACAUCUUGACGGUACCUAAUCAGAAAGCCACGGCUAACUACGUGCCAGCAGCCGCGGUAAUACGUAGGUGGCAAGCGUUAUCCGGAAUUAUUGGGCGUNAAGCGCGCGUAGGCGGUUUUUUAAGUCUGAUGUGAAAGCCCACGGCUCAACCGUGGAGGGUCAUUGGAAACUGGAAAACUUGAGUGCAGAAGAGGAAAGUGGAAUUCCAUGUGUAGCGGUGAAAUGCGCAGAGAUAUGGAGGAACACCAGUGGCGAAGGCGACUUUCUGGUCUGUAACUGACGCUGAUGUGCGAAAGCGUGGGGAUCAAACAGGAUUAGAUACCCUGGUAGUCCACGCCGUAAACGAUGAGUGCUAAGUGUUAGGGGGUUUCCGCCCCUUAGUGCUGCAGCUAACGCAUUAAGCACUCCGCCUGGGGAGUACGACCGCAAGGUUGAAACUCAAAGGAAUUGACGGGGACCCGCACAAGCGGUGGAGCAUGUGGUUUAAUUCGAAGCAACGCGAAGAACCUUACCAAAUCUUGACAUCCUUUGACAACUCUAGAGAUAGAGCUUUCCCCUUCGGGGGACAAAGUGACAGGUGGUGCAUGGUUGUCGUCAGCUCGUGUCGUGAGAUGUUGGGUUAAGUCCCGCAACGAGCGCAACCCUUAAGCUUAGUUGCCAUCAUUAAGUUGGGCACUCUAAGUUGACUGCCGGUGACAAACCGGAGGAAGGUGGGGAUGACGUCAAAUCAUCAUGCCCCUUAUGAUUUGGGCUACACACGUGCUACAAUGGACAAUACAAAGGGCAGCGAAACCGCGAGGUCAAGCAAAUCCCAUAAAGUUGUUCUCAGUUCGGAUUGUAGUCUGCAACUCGACUACAUGAAGCUGGAAUCGCUAGUAAUCGUAGAUCAGCAUGCUACGGUGAAUACGUUCCCGGGUCU
rnacentral:rRNA from 1 species